rnacentral:SRP_RNA from 1 species
GCUGGGUGCGGUGGCACACACACCUGUGGUCCCAGCUACUCGUGAGGCUGAGGCGGGAGGACUGCUUGAGCCUGUGAGUUCUGGGCUGUACUGAGCUUUGCUGAUCCAGGGUUCACAUCAAUGUGGUGACCUCCCUGGACUGGCAGGACCACCAGGUUGCCUAAGGAGGGAUGAACCCAUCCAAGUCAGAAACCAACCAGGGCAAAACUCCCAUGCUGAUCUGAUCUGGGAUCACAUCUGUGAACAGCCACUGCACCCAGCUGGGCAACACAGCGAGACCCUGU